GGGUCAGUAGGUUGGUCGUGCCACCGGUACGUACUGGUCUCACUGAUUCCUCCUUCCUGAAGUACCGUAAUGCCAUUAAUUUGGUGUUGCGGGGAAACAGGACUGUUACUUUGAAAAAAUUAGAGUGUUUAAAGCAAGCUAACGCUUGAAUACAUUAGCAUGGAAUAAUGAAAUAGGACGAUCGAUCCUAUUUUGUUGGUUUUCAGGAUUGACGUA
rnacentral:rRNA from 1 species